CAUCCCCAAGGUUUCCUCAUGUCUUCUGAAACCCCUGUCUCAGUCAUCCCCAAGGUUUCCUCAAGUCUUCUGAAACCCCUGUCUCCCUUGUCUCAGUCAUCCCCAAGGUUUCCUCAAGUCUUCUGAAACCCCUGUCUCAGUCAUCCCCAAGGUUUCCUCAAGUCUUCUGAAACCCCUGUCUCAGUCAUCCCCAAGGUUUCCUCAUGUCUUCUGAAACCCCUGUCUCCCUGUCUCAGUCAUCCCCAAGGUUUCUUCAUGUCUUCUGAAACCCCUGUCUCCCUGUCUCAGUCAUCCUCAAGGUUUCCUCAAGUCUUCUGAAACCCCUGUCUCCCUGUCUCAGUCAUCCCCAAGGUUUCCUAAAGUCUUCUGAAACCCCUGUCUCAGUCAUCCCCAAGGUUUCCUCAAGUCUUCUGAAACCCCUGUCUCCCUGUCUCAGUCAUCCCCAAGGUUUCCUAAAGUCUUCUGAAACCCCUGUCUCCCUGUCUCAGUCAUCCCCAAGGUUUCCUAAAGUCUUCUGAAACCCCUGUCUCCCUGUCUCAGUCAUCCCUAAGGUUUUAGUUAACAUGUUGGUAAAAAAACAAGGUUGGUAGUGGUACGAAAGUAAUGGUUGACCUUGUAUUUCAGUAGAGGACUGGAGUACAGAACUCCUCUGUGUGCGUGUGGCUGUGUGGCCGUGUGUGUGUGUGUCCGUGUGUGUCCUUUGAAUUUCAGUGCAUGCUUAUGAGCGAGUGUGUUUGCCUCAGAUAGGAAAGAGUAGUGAGUGGGACCAGAUAGAUCAGGGGUGCAGCCACGAUGCCCUAUGCAGAGGGGGGUUAUGUGGAGGAAGAUUCCAGACACAAUGCUCCCAUUGAGAAGGUUCAGACAUGGGUGUUAACUCCCCAUUCCUCACCAGCAGAGGCGAGUGGGGUGGACAAUGUUAGUUCAGGGCAGCCUUCCACCAAGCACAGAGUAAAGGCACUGCAUUAUAAAGACAGGAGAGGAGAGAGAGAGAGAGGGAUGGAGAGUUGAAAGGAAAAUGGGGGAGGGAGAGAGAGAGAGAGAGAGAGAGGGGUGUGUUUGUGUAUGUGGAGAGAGAGAGGGGUGUGUUUGUGUAUGUGGAGAGAGAGAGAGAGAGAGAGAGAGAGAGAGAGAUACAGUGCUUGUCUGUGUGUCACCACUACAGGGAGGAGGUCAAAGACUUAGCAGUGUGUUGCCAGGACAACAACCUCUCCCUCAGUGUCAGUAAGACCAGGGAACUGAUCGUGGACUACAGGAGAAAGAGGGGAGAGUACGCACCCAUCCACAUCGACGGGGCUGUUGUGGAGCAGGUUGAGAGCUUCAAGUUCCUUGGUGUCCACAUCACUAAGGACUUAACAUAGUCCACACACAUCCUCACAGUGGUGAAGAGGGCACGACAGCACCUUUUCCCCCUCAGGAGAAAGAAAAGAUUUGGCAUGGGCCCUCAGAUCCUCAAAAAGUUCUACAGCUUCACCAUUGAGAGCAUCUUGACUGGCUGCAUCACCACUUGGUAUGGAAAAUACACUGCCCUUGACUGCAAAGUGCUACAGAGAGCAGUGCGGACAGCCCAGUAAAUCACUGGGGCCAAGCUCUCUGCCACCCAAGACCUCUAUACCAGUCGUUGUCAGAGGAAGGCCUGAAAAAUUGGCUAAGACUCCAGCCACCCAAGCCAUAGACUGUUCACUCUGCUACCGUCCGGCAAACGACACCGGAGCAUCAGCUCUCGGACCAACAGGGUCUGAGGCAACUUCUACCGCAAAGCCAUAAGUCUGCUAAAUAGCCAGUCUGCUAAAUAGCCAGACUGCUAAAUAGCCAGUCUGCUAAAUAGCCAGACUGCUAAAUAGCCAGUCUGCUAAAUAGCCAGACUGCUAAAAAGCCAGACUGCUAAAUAGCCAGACUGCUAAAUAGUCAAUUAAUGGUACUGACCCUACGCACACUAACUAUACAUACACAUCAAAUACACACUCACUAGACUAUAUAUACACACCAUAUACACAAUCACUAGACUAUAUAUACACACCAUAUAUACACUCACUAGACUACAUACACACUCACUAGACUAUAAACACACACUCACUAGACUAUAUAUACACACACUAUAUACACAAUCACUAGAAUAUAUAUACACCCUCACUAGACUAUAUAUACACACACUAUAUACACAAUCACUAGACUAUAUAUACACACUCAUUAGACUAUAUAUACACCCUCACUAGACUAUAUACACACUCACUAGACUAUAUAUACACACACUAUAUACACACUCACUAGACUAUAUAUACACACACUAUAUACACAAUCACUAGACUAUAUAUACACACCAUAUAUACACUCACUAGACUAUAUACACACUCACUAGACUAUAAACACACACUCACUAGACUAUAUAUACACACACACUACAUACACACUCACUAGACUAUAAACACACACUCACUAGACUAUAUAUACACACACACUAUAUACACACUCACUAGACUAUAUAUACACACUCACUAGACUAUAUAUACACCCUCACUAGACUAUAUACACACUCACUAGACUAUAUAUACACACACACUAUAUACACAAUCACUAGACUAUAUAUACACACUCACUAGACUAUAUAUACACCCUCACUAGACUAUAUACACACUCACUAGACUAUAUAUACACACUAUAUACACACUCACUAGACUAUACAUACACACUCACUAGACUAUAUAUUUAUAUACACACACUCAUUAGACUAUAUACACACUCACUAGACUAUAUACACACUCACUAUACUAUAUACACACUCACUAGACUAUAUACACACACUAUAUACACACUCACUAGACUAUACAUACAUACACACUCACUAGACUAUAUAUUUAUAUACAUACACUCACUAGACUAUAUAUACACACUCACUAGACUAUAUAUACACUCACCAGACUAUAUAUACACACUAUAUACACACUCAUUAGACUAUAAAUACACACAAUAUCAUAUACACACUCACUAGACAAUAUACACACACUCACUAGACUAUAUAUACACACUCACUAGACUAUAUAUACACACUCACUAGACUAUAUAUACACAAUCACUAGACUAUAUAUACACUCACUAGACUAUAUAUACACACUAUAUACACAAUCACUAGACUAUAUAUACACACUCACUAGACUAUAUAUACACUCACUAGACUAUAUAUACACACUAUAUACACACUCAUUAGACUAUAAAUACACACAAUAUGAUAUACACACACACUAGACAAUAUACACACACUCACUAGACUAUAUAUACACACUCACUAGACUAUAUAUACACACUCACUAGACUAUAUAUACACAAUCACUAGACUAUAUAUACACUCACUAGACUAUAUAUACACACUAUAUACACAAUCACUAGACUAUAUAUACACACUCACUAGACUAUAUAUACACUCACUAGACUAUAUAUACACACUAUAUACACACUCAUUAGACUAUAAAUACACACAAUAUUAUAUACACACACACUAGACAAUUUAAACACAAUCACUAGACUAUAUAUACACUCACUAGACUAUAAACACACUAUAUACACAAUCACUAGACUAUAUAUACACAAUCACUAGACUAUAUAUACACACUCACAAGACUAUAUAUACACACUAUAUACACAUUCACUAGACUAUAUACACACUCACUAGACUAUAUAUACACACUAUAUACACACUCAUUAGACUAUAUACACACACACAAUAUCAUAUACACACUCACUAGACUAUAUAUACAC
rnacentral:lncRNA from 1 species